UGUCCCUCUUGUAUGAUAAAAAUUGAAGCGGACGUCUGUUCUUGGGAACUCCGCACGCAAGCGGUGACUCGAAGUCCUCUCUACACCGCUGCUACUAGAGAUGUGAAAGCUGAUGUCUUCUCCUAGCCAUAGGAAACCACCGCUCAAGCCAUGGGGUCGCCGCUUGCGCGAUUCUCAAAUUCCUUCAUCAGCCAAGCGGCGAAAACAAGCAGGAAAGGUGAGCGGUCUGCAGCUAAGCCAAUUUCAGGCAAUUGCAGCGAAGCGACUGUAUGUAAAGCGGCACAGAACAGUCCCUCCUGCAAGCGAAGCUAUGAAUUUAUUCUUCUUUAUUUUGGACAAAAGUUCAUUUCGUUUGUCGGCGUCUACAAAGAAAAUUCCCAAACAUAGUCUUAGGAGAAAGAGAUUUCAGAUUUCGAAUCAAUAGCCAUAAUUCCAGCCCUAAUCCUUCACUGUAAUCCCACAAUUCAUUCACCACAAUUCAUUCACUGGGAUGAUGAAGUCGCCCGUCACCUUCCCCAUUUCCAGCAGCUUCUAAAUCCUCAAUUAUUCCUUCCACACAGAGAUGGUAAACAUCGAGAAAAGGAUUAAUCGAUAAUUUAAGACAAGAUACGAACAACCUCCAAGGGCUGAUUGCAGGCUGUGUUGGAUUCAUUUGAUUUGAGGAUUGAUAAUUGAGGGCAUUCGAUAAAAAUCUGCAUACAACAGUCGCUGGUGGUUGCAAAAUCUGAAAUUUUCAGAUUCAUUCUGUGGUGAAUUGACGCUGAGGAGGAGACUGCUUUGAAAAUUCCGAAGCAAGAAGACUCAUGUAACUUUGAAAAGGGAGUUUUAGUGUAUCUCUUGAAUUCUUUGACAAAUAAUGUGACUGUAUCUCAUCUUUUGCUGCUAAAAAUAAUGUUUGUUUUGAUUGCAGUCCCUCCUGAGCUUACUCAAGGUUGUUCGAGGGCGAACAACAACUCAAGUGUGAGGAGGGAAGUCAUCGGCACCAAAAAAAAUUUUGAAAAAAAAAAUCUGGCUGCAAGACAUGAAUGAGGGAAGUUAUUGAUUCCCUUAUUGAUUAUUUAUGCCGUUAAUUUAUUGAUUGCUAAUUUGUUGGUUUGUAGAAUAAUUGCUUCUUAGAUAAUUAGUAGUUGUAAAUCUAGUUGAUUAGGAUAAUUUUCAUAUUAAUGGUUAGAAGCUAUGUAAUAUAUUAGUUUGCUGCACUUAGUUUUCUUAGUUUAAUCCUUAGUUAUGGUUAGACAAUUAGCAUAGUUAGUUUGUUGUUUGUUAGUCUUAGUCGCUUCCAGUUAGUUCGGUUAGCACUAGUUGAGAUAGGUGUAGAAUUAGUUUGCUUAAUUAGUUAGAUUUGUCCAAUUCUAUAUUGUUAAUUAGUUUUUAGCUUUAGAUAUUAUGCUGUUUUAGUUCAAUUUUGUUUGUAAUAUUCUGUAUGUUAGAUUAGGUUAGUAUUUUGUAAUUUAUGUUGUAUAUUGAAUUAUAUUGUGCUGCUCUUUUAGUUAGUAGUUAGUUGUAAUCUAGUCGUUAUUAACAUAGUUUAGUCGAUAUAGUGAGUUUUCUGCUGUGAAUUGGUGUUCUGAUAGUGUUGUAUGUUAGCUUAGUAUUAUCUUAGAUUACUCUAGUCUAGCUUGUUUUGUAGGUCUGCUUUUAAGUUUAGUUAUAUUAGUUGUGUUUUUUAAUUGUUGCAAUAUAAGUUCCAGCUCAAACUUGCUGCUUGUUUAUUCCUGUGAUUUGCUGUAAUUCUUCCUGCAUAUUAGAUUAGUUUAUCAUAUUGCUGCGGCUUGUUUGCUGCUUUUAUUUAUUUUUUUUUUUUUUCUGACUUAGCUUGAAUUUGCUAGUUUUAUUUAACUUUUUUUAGAUAGCUUUAGUUUAGGUUAUUAUCUAAUUUAAUUGACCCUCUUAGUGUUGAUAAUGAUGUAGUUAUGUUAUGUUGUUUUUAGUCUACCUGCCAUGGAUUGCUAAUUAGGUUAGAUGAGUGUAGAAUUAGUUUGUUUAAUUUUACUGAUUAAUAUUAUUGCCAGUUAAUUAUUUAAUUGUUCUAACCUAUAUGUUGUAUUUGCAUAUUCACAUAUUUCCUGAGUUCGACCGGACACUCACCGGUUAAAGAUAUUUUUUAUUUUUGACGAAAUUUUUGGAGCUACUACACGAACACGCACGAAACUAUUUUUAUUUUAUACCUAUAUCAUUUUUUUUUUGUAUCUUAAAAGAUAUUUUUAAAAAUCUCCAAAAUUCUUCGAUCAAUAAUAUUGCAUCUGAAAAAAAAUAUGAGACUAAUGUCGUUGGAUGGAACAAGACGAUCAGAUCACGAACCGCAAAACUUCGCAAAUUGGAUAAAUAAGGUUGGGGAGGGGAAAACCAAAUUCUUGCGUUUUGAUGAUGAUACUGAAUCUGAUUGGAUUGAAAUGCCUUCAGCAUUUCUGAUAAAUGAAAAUCGAAAUGGUAUCCACUCCUUAAUAAGCGAAACAUAUCCAAAAUUAAAAGAACGGUACAACUCAAUGAUGUUAUCCAUGCUGCCAGGUGAACCACGACAAUACUAUAGUGUUGAUAGCAUAAUCCCUGGGGAAGCGCAACAUACAAAUGAAAAUAUACAUUAUGUAGAGUUGCUGAAUACUAUAAAUAUUUUAGGUUUCCUAAACCAUUGUUUGGAAUUGAAAGAAGGAGCACUAGUAAUCCUUCUUUGGAAUUUCAACCAAUCUUUGGGCCUAUGCAAUGGAACUCGACUUACAAUACUAAAGUUGGGCAACAAAGUUUUGUCGGCACGGAUUAUGAACGGUUCACAUAUGGGGGAAGACGUGCUAAUACCACACAUUGUAUUCACAACAAGUGCAAGUCAAACAUUCGUUCAAAUGAAAAGAAGACAAUUCCCGGUUAAAUGGCGUUUGCAAUGACGAUUAAUAAAAGUCAAGGACAAACACUUGAAAAUGUUGGACUGUACUUGUCAAACCCUGUAUUUUGCCAUGGGAUGCUAUAUGUUGCACUAUCAAGAGUUACGCAUCCAAGAGGGUUAAAAAUACUCAUUCAUAAUAAAGAUGGUGUACCAGAAAAUGCUAUUAGAAAUAUAGUAUAUCUAGAAGUACUCGCUUCUCUGAUAACGUAAGAGUUAUUUUCUAUUACAAUUUAUUCAAAUAAUAAUGCAAAGAAUUUUUUUGUCUUAUUCAUAAAAUAAUUAUGUCAUUAUUUAUAAUGGUAUAUUGCUAUUUGUCCAUAUAAAUUUACAGGCCGUACAUGUGAAGAAUAUUCAGAUAUUGCGAGUUUGACUCUCGAGUGCUAUGAUGCUACUAUAAAAGCACGAUUGAUUCGAUUGGUGGACACACGAUUUCCAAGAUCGAAUAUUCGAAUUUUGAAGCUUUUAUUCAUUGACGCCUAUGGAUUCACAAUACAAGGUGCGUGGUACACGAAAUGAACAUUCCUAUUCUACUUCCAAAACUUCACGAAGGCAACGUGUACCGUAUUCAUAAAAUGAAGGUAAUAAUUGCUGACAAUAAACACAAAAUAGUACCCCAGCCAUUCCAGUUACUGCUGCGUCAAGACACAAUUAUUGAACAUGCAGUUGAUCAAAAUGGUAUCUUCCCAAAAGAUUUUGUUAAUAUUAUCUCCUUAAAUGAUAUGAAAUCUUAUGUAGAUAUGGAGGAUCAAUUGAUUGGUAAGUUUUACUUAUAAUAUAUACUAGAUAUAUAUCAUUGUUAUUUACUUUCAUAUAACAUGUGUGCAGAUAUUAUAGAAUUGUUGCCAUGUAGAUGAUUCUUUUGUGUUUAAAGAUGGCCACCAAACGUGCGGAGUUAUACUUCUGGAUAAAAGUUUGACAACAGUUCCAGUAAUUUUGAAAGGGAAUCUAGCCAUGACUAACGAGGAUAAAUUGAAAGCAACGAUGAAGGAAGAAACAACGUUACUCGCAUGUGGUGUCCUGGUGAAAUCAGUCCAAUUGUUUAUACGCAUCAUUUCACAAAAUUGUAUAUAAACAAUGAUACGCCACACAUGGAUGAUCUUCGUAACUGUUUAUAUAUAUAGGUUCACACGCAAUCGCUCUGCACAAAAAAUUAUGGAAUUCAUUAGGUCGAGAAUAUUUUCGAUGCCAGAAUUAUUGAACAUAACAAAUUCCGAAAGAAUUAAGAUCGCUAAUUUGCGAUAUCAAAAUGAGGUGAAAUUUUAUCGUGUGCUUGCACGCAUUAAACGAGUCGAUGGGGGGAAAGUAUGGAAUAUUUUAUUCGAUCCAUCAUUGUAUCCGAUCCCCUUAGAAAUAUACGACAGUACUGGAACAUUGGCAUUAAAAUUGAAAUAUGCUCACCUAAAUUUCAUGUUCCGACUAGAUCUUCCCUUCGUGCGCAACUUUAUGCUGACAGGUUCGCAAUAUAUUACACGUUGAUUGGUGUGAGGAAUGUGCUCAUGUGUUUAUCAGAUCUUCGUUCGUGAGAUAGCCGUCACACCGUCGGAUACUUUCGCAACCUGAUUUCUUAGACCACCGCCGCAUAGCCUAGACUUUUGUAAUCAUGAUCUUGACCAACAAAUCAUGCUGCACCGCCCACUCAGCCGACUGGGUUGAGCUAUUUGGUCACUCCCUCCCGUUGACAUCCCGCACCAACAUCGGAUUCUGGAAAGAUUAGGCUAAUUGAAGGUUAUUUGCAUUAUCUUCUACCUAACUUUUGUAUGUAGUUAUGCUAUUUUGUUGAUGCUAUCAAUAGUGAAUUCUUCUUAUGUAAACAACGAUAUGAUGCAACUAUAUACAACUUUGAUUUUUCUUAUUUUGUGCUUUCAUAUUGAUUGGAUUGUUGA